AGUCCAUUUCACAUGUCAACUCGAAAUGGCCAUUUCAGUGGCUAAAGGAUGGAAUUUUGCUCUAAAACAUCUUGUAGUGCCUAUUUAAGCAUGUUUACGCUUGUUUGAAUCAUCAGAUUUGAAGAAAAAAACACCAAAGUGGUAGUUUGACUUCAGACCCUAGCCCUAUUGUAUCAUUUUCCUUAUGUAGCCUAUUCUACAAAUAAUUUAGUUCUAUAACAUUCAACAUUCA